GACGAACGCUGGCGGCGUGCUUAACACAUGCAAGUCGAACGGAAAGGCCCUGCUUUUGUGGGUUUCUCGAGUGGCGAACGGGUGAGUAACACGUGAGUAACCUGCCCUUGACUUUGGGAUAACUUCAGGAAACUGGGGCUAAUACCGGAUAUGAGCUCCUGCUGCAUGGUGUGGGUUGGAAAGUUUCGGCGGUUGGGGCUGGACUCGCGGCUUAUCCGCUUGUUGGUGAGGUAGUGGCUGACCAAGGCUUUGACGGAUAGCCUGCCUGAGAGGGGGACCGGGCACAUUGGGACUAAGAGACGGACCAGACGCGUACGGGAGGCAGCAGUGGGGAAUAUUGCACAAUGGGCGGAAGCCUGAUGCAGAAACGCCGCGUGCGGGAUGACGGCCUUCGGGUGAUAAACAGAUUUCGAAGGUGACGAAGAGUGAGUGACGGUAAUGGGUAAAGAAGCAACGGCUAACUACGUG
rnacentral:rRNA from 1 species